UACGGAGGGUGCAAGCGUUAUCCGGAUUCACUGGGUUUAAAGGGUGCGUAGGUGGGUUGGUAAGUCAGUGGUGAAAGCGCGGGGCUCAACUCCGCGUCGGCCAUGAAUACUGCGGGGCUGGAGCACUGUAGAGGCAGGCGGAAUUCCGGGUGUAGCGGUGGAAUGCGUAGAGAUCCGGAAGAACACCGGUGGCGAAGGCGGCCUGCUGGGCAGUAGCUGACACUGAGGCGCGACAGCGUGGGGAGCAAACAGG
rnacentral:rRNA from 1 species